UACGGAGGGUGCAAGCGUUAAUCGGAAUUACUGGGCGUAAAGCGCACGCAGGUGGCUGAGUAAGUCGAUUGUGAAAGCCCUGGGCUUAACCUGGGAAUUGCAGUCGAUACUGCUCGGCUAGAGUAUGGGAGAGGGUAGUGGAAUUCCCGGUGUAGCGGUGAAAUGCGUAGAUAUCGGGAGGAACAUCAGUGGCGAAGGCGGCUACCUGGCCCAAUACUGACGCUGAGGCGCGAAAGCGUGGGGAGCAAACAGG
rnacentral:rRNA from 1 species